GACGACCGCUGGCGGCAGGCUUAACACAUGCAAGUCGAACGCAUCCUUCGGGGUGAGUGGCAGACGGGUGAGUAACGCGUGGGAACGUGCCCUUCAGUUCGGGAUAACCCAGGGAAACUUAGGCUAAUACCGGAUACGUGCGAGAGCAGAAAGAUUUAUCGCUGAAGGAUCGGGCCGCGUCUGAUGAGCUAGUUGUUGGGGUAAUGGCCGACCAAGGCGACGAGCAGUAGCUGGUCUGAGAGGAUGAUCAGGCACAUUGGGACUGAGACACGGCCCAAACUCCUACGGGAGGCAGCAGUGGGGAAUAUUGGACAAUAGGCGCAAGCCUGUUCCAGCCAUGCCGCGUGAGUGAUGAAGGCCUAAGGGUUGUAAAGCUCUUUCGUCCGGGACGAUAAUGACGGUACCGGAAGAAGAAGCCCCGGCUAACUUCGUGCCAGCAGCCGCGGUAA
rnacentral:rRNA from 1 species